UCCCUGGAGGUCCAGUGGUUAGGACUCUGCACUUCAACUGCAGGUGGCACAGGUUUGAUCCCUGAUCAGGGAA
rnacentral:tRNA from 1 species